rnacentral:rRNA from 1 species
UACGAAGGGUGCAAGCGUUAAUCGGAAUUACUGGGCGUAAAGGGUGCGUAGGCGGUUGUUUAAGUCUGAUGUGAAAUCCCCGGGCUCAACCUGGGAAUGGCGUUGGAUACUGGGCAGCUAGAGUGUGUCAGAGGAUGGUGGAAUUCCCGGUGUAGCGGUGAAAUGCGUAGAGAUCGGGAGGAACAUCAGUGGCGAAGGCGGCCAUCUGGGACAACACUGACGCUGAAGCACGAAAGCGUGGGGAGCAAACAGG